rnacentral:rRNA from 1 species
AUUGAACGCUGGCGGCAUGCUUUACACAUGCAAGUCGAACGGCAGCGCGGUCUUCGGCCUGGCGGCUAGUGGCGAACGGGUGAGUAAUACAUCGGAACGUGCCCAGUAGUGGGGGAUAGCUCGGCGAAAGCCGGAUUAAUACCGCAUACGACCUGAGGGUGAAAGCGGGGGAUCUUCGGACCUCGCGCUAGUGGAGCGGCCGAUGGCAGAUUAGCUAGUUGGUGGGGUAAAGGCCUACCAAGGCGACGAUCUGUAGCUGGUCUGAGAGGACGACCAGCCACACUGGGAGUGAGACACGGCCCAGACUCCUGCGGGAGGCAGCAGUGGGGAAUUUUGGACAGUGGGCGAGAGCAUGAUACAGCAAUGCCGCGUGUGUGAUGAAGGCCUUCGGGUUGUAAAGCACUUUUGGCGGGAACGAAAAGGACUGUGCCAAUACCACGGUUCGAUGACGGUAACCGCAGAAUAAGCACCGGCUAACUACGUG